UGGGGAAUAUUGGACAAUGGGGGGAACCCUGAUCCAGCCAUGCCGCGUGUGUGAAGAAGGCCUUAUGGUUGUAAAGCACUUUAAGCGAGGAGGAGGGUACUGGUAUUAAUACUACCAGGUACUGGACGUUACUCGCAGAAUAAGCACCGGCUAACUCUGUGCCAGCAGCCGCGGUAAUACAGAGGGUGCAAGCGUUAAUCGGAAUUACUGGGCGUAAAGCGCGCGUAGGUGGUUCGUUAAGUUGAAUGUGAAAGCCCCGGGCUCAACCUGGGAACUGCAUCCAAAACUGGUGAGCUAGAGUAGGGCAGAGGGUGGUGGAAUUUCCUGUGUAGCGGUGAAAUGCGUAGAUAUAGGAAGGAACACCAGUGGCGAAGGCGACCACCUGGGCUCAUACUGACACUGAGGUGCGAAAGCGUGGGGAGCAAACAGG
rnacentral:rRNA from 1 species